GAGGAAGAGGCAGGCUAUGGACUGGGGGGGGAAAUGAGAGGUGCGGAGACUAGCAGAGCUGAGCCAGGCUUGGUGGUCCUGGACAAGGCCUCUGGUGCUGAGAGAAGCCCAUUUAGAGCCAGCCUGGGAAGUAGCUGCUGAGGGCCCUGGGCUGACACUCCCCAGCUCGGACCUGAGGUGCCUUUGCAUGGGUGUGUUUGUGCUGGACGGGGAUCUGCAAGAACCUGGGUUCAGAUAUUGCCCCUUACAGAGUUGGAGGCCUGCCGGGGAGAGUGUUGCUUACAUCGGUAUCACCAUCGAUAAACAUAAAGCACCUACUGUGUGCGGGCAAAUGCAGGGGAUACACAACCAGGCAGUCCCUGUCCUUGAGGAGCUCGCAAUCUAGCGGAAGAGACAAAAGCAGAGAAGUCGCUACAAGCAAGCGACUCACAGGAUGAAGAGGAAAUAACAAAGUUUGGUGGGGGAAGGCUUCCCGGAGGAGCUUCGAGCAGGAAGAGACCCCAGCAACCACCCUGUCCAGACUGUACCAGAACCAGGAUCCCUCCUGCAAAAUGCCCAAGAAGCGGUCAUCCAGCUUGACUACCUCCAGAGAUGGGGAACUCACUACCUACCAAGGCCUCCCUGCAGGACUCCCUGUGCUCCUUCUUGCCUGGGCACCUUUGCCCAGGCCCCUCCACCCCACCUAAAGGUUCCUAUAAUAAUAGUGACAGUACCCUCCCAUCUUAACAGUUGACAGCUCCCAUCCCACUACUGCGGAGUCGGACAGAGCAUCCAGGGGCAGGUGUAGGCCAGGGGGAAGGGGCCCAGGGGACACCACUGGGCACGGGAGAAGGGGGCCUCAGGCGGCCGUAGAGGGGGACAGCUUUGGCCUGUCGGGAUUUACCCAAAAAGCACCUGGCGUGCCUACUCUGAGCCUCAGUUUUGCACUUCCCGCGGUGUCCAGCACACACUACGUACCUAAUCGAUGCUUGUCGACUGACUGACAGACUGACUCAGUGGUAGGGAGGCAAAGCCAAAAGCAUUCCCUGACC